CUGGCGGCGUGCCUAAUACAUGCAAGUCGAGCGGAAUGAUGAAGAAGCUUGCUUCUUCUGAUUUUAGCGGCGGACGGGUGAGUAACACGUGGGCAACCUACCUUGUAGAUUGGGAUAACUCCGGGAAACCGGGGCUAAUACCGAAUAAUCCAUUUUGCUUCAUGGCGAGAUGUUGAAAGACGGUUUCGGCUGUCACUACAAGAUGGGCCCGCGGCGCAUUAGCUAGUUGGUAGGGUAAUGGCCUACCAAGGCGACGAUGCGUAGCCGACCUGAGAGGGUGAUCGGCCACACUGGGACUGAGACACGGCCCAGACUCCUACGGGAGGCAGCAGUAGGGAAUCUUCCACAAUGGACGAAAGUCUGAUGGAGCAACGCCGCGUGAGUGAAGAAGGUUUUCGGAUCGUAAAACUCUGUUGUAAGGGAAGAACACGUACGAGAGUAACUGCUCGUACCUUGACGGUACCUUAUUAGAAAGCCGCGGCUAACUACGUG
rnacentral:rRNA from 1 species